AGCAGCGUGGCUCAGUGGAAAGAGCCCGGGCUUGGGAGUCAGAGAGGUCAUGGGUUCGAAUCCCAGCUCUGCCA
rnacentral:tRNA from 1 species